UGAGCCCGGUACGUACGUGAGGAGGCCCCGGACGAUGCGUCCGGGGCCUCCUCACGUACGUACCGCUCAGA
rnacentral:pre_miRNA from 1 species